AUGUGGGGACAGACGAGGGACACACUGGGAAAGCCAGAGCAGGCGGUGGGGAGAGGGAGACCGCGGGGAGAGGCAAAGGAUAGCAAUAAUGAGAGGAAGGCAGAGAGGAAGAAGAGGGUGAGAAUGAAAGACCCAGAGCUUGAGACAGACAGACAAGCGGGGGCGGGGGGAGACAGGCAACAGCAGCAGAGACGGAGCCCGGUCCGAGGUGCCGGGACCAGCCCGCUGCGCAAGGGUGGGUCUCGGAAGGCGUCCGGGGCAGGUGGCUCGGCCCGGGGCUGGGUGCCUGCGGGUCCCGCCUGGGCUGGCCGCCUGCGGGUCCCGCCUGGGCUGGCCCUGGGCCCCCGCCCCACCGCCCCACCGCCCGCCGGGCUCCCUCCCAUUUCCCGGAUUCCGCGGCUGCCCUCAGCUCGCAGGUCCGACUCCCAGCCUCGGCGCGUCCCUCCGGCCCCAGCUCCGGAGCACGUGUCCCUCCCGCCGCCGCCGCUCGCCUGCGCGGGCACGAGGCCUCGGGGUCCCUGCAAAGCCGCCCGCGCACAAAGCCGAGGCGGCCCCCGCCUGACCCCCGCCCGGCCGCGCAGCCCGCCCUCGCCCUCGCCCUCGCCCUCGCGCGCUCUGUCCUGCCCCGGGCAACCGCCGCCCAGCCCCGCACCCGGCCGCUGCCCGUCCCGCGCCGCCCCUUGGUCUGCCCGACUCCCGCCGGCUCCGCCGGCCCCAGCGCUCUCAGAACUGGGCCACCCGCAGGGCACGGGGCCCCGCGGCUCGCGCCUCACCCGCGGCUGCGCUACUGGCUCCGGCGUCCUCGGCGCCGCGGUCUCCGCUCUUCCCGGCGCCCCGCGAAGCCCCGCCGACUCCGCGACCCGCGCCCGGCCGCGCCGUCAACUUCUGGCCGCCGCGGCCGCUCCGCCGCCGCCGCCGCCGCCGCCGCCACCGCGGGACUUUUUUUUUUUUCCUCUCGCUCCUCGGCUGCCUCAGGAAUUUUUUUUCACUUGCCCUCUCCAGCUCCCACUAGUGAUUGGAGACUGA
rnacentral:lncRNA from 13 species